GGAGUUAGCCGGUGCUUCUUCUGUGAGUGAUGUCCUUCCUGCCGGUUAUUGACCCGCAGGCCUUCUUCCUCACUGAAAGUGCUUUACAACCCGAAGGCCUUCUUCACACACGCGGCAUGGCUGGAUCAGGGUUGCCCCCAUUGUCCAAUAUUCCCCACUGCUGCCUCCCGUAGGAGUCUGGGCCGUGUCUCAGUCCCAGUGUGGCUGAUCAUCCUCUCAGACCAGCUACGGAUCGUCGCCUUGGUGAGCCGUUACCUCACCAACCAGCUAAUCCGACAUAGGCUCAUCCGAUAGCGCGAGGCCCGAAGGUCCCCCGCUUUCCCCCGUAGGGCGUAUGCGGUAUUAGCCUGGGUUUCCCCAGGUUAUCCCCCACUACCGGGCAGAUUCCUAUGCAUUACUCACCCGUCCGCCGCUCGCCACCAGGGAGCAAGCUCCCCGUGCUGCCGCUCGACUUGCAUGUGUUAGGCCUGCCGCCAGCGUUCAAUCUGAACCAGAUCAAAUUCUGA
rnacentral:rRNA from 1 species